rnacentral:piRNA from 1 species
UACUGUUGAACAGGGUGUGACACAAUCAGU